CCCGCCUCUUCCGGUGGCCGGGGCGCUGGCCCGCCCACGCGGCUCUUCCAGAAGUCAUUCCCGAGGUGCCUACAGCGGCCGAGUCAGGGCCUAGCCUUGCCCGGGAGGAGGGAGAUGGACCCCCUUCCUCGUUACCUGAUCAGGGCCGCGACCCUCAUGCUGGGUGCAGUGCGCGUGCGUGCGGCAGGCGCGGACGCCAGGCCCCGGCCCUGUAGCGGAUCCAGUGACGCGCGCGGGUCCUCGCCCGGGUGUCUGCUGCGCUGCCUGUCCGCGACCAUCCUACUGCCCCUUCAGCAUCUUGCUGAACAAACGGGCGUCCAGGGAUUUGUUUAUUGGUUCUCAGAGGAUUUUGGUGGAGCCGCUAGGUCUUUCCAGCUAUAAUGAUAUUUAAUGUCCCUGGUAAACCGAGGUCCGUGAAACUUGAAGAUCAGAAAAAUCACAGACCUACAGAAGCCGCCUUUAAAAUAGCUUGUAUUUUGCCAUCAGCAUCAACAUUACCAUUAACAACACUUGAGACUGAACUUUCAAGAAAGGGCUAUUAACAUAUUGAAAAGUGCCAAGUUUUUAAUCUAUCUAGCCUUACUUAACCUCAAAGGGGAGAAAACAAAAUAAAACUCUCUGUACUCUGAGGGUGUAAAAAAUGGAAAUGAAUAAAGGAACAAGAGGCAGUCCCCUCCCUAACUCCCGUGGCAUUCUGAGUGAAAUCUUUACAAGUUAGGAAAUGGCGCUAGAAGCCCCUUCUUCUGGAGAAGUGGAGUUUGCAGCAUUUAACAGAAUCUUUGGCUCCCACCGACUUGAGGCAGGUACUGCCAGGCCUAUCUAGGAGAAGUGAGAUGAAACGAGGAAACACCAACGGCUUUGUUUCGAGUCGCUCUUCCAAUUCCAAACUCCUGGGUGGAAAAAUAUAUUCAAAUUUGAGGGGACUUCUUAAGAAAAGAAAUGCUUUGUGGAGAUAUUAAAAAAAACUAAGAUCAAUAAGCUAUAAAAAUUUGAAGUCCGUGUAUAAGGUAGAUUUUAAUGUCACAAU